GUUGGUGAGGUAACGGCUCACCAAGGCGACGAUCCCUAGCUGGUCUGAGAGGAUGACCAGCCACACUGGAACUGAGACACGGUCCAGACUCCUACGGGAGGCAGCAGUGGGGAAUAUUGCACAAUGGGCGCAAGCCUGAUGCAGCCAUGCCGCGUGUAUGAAGAAGGCCUUCGGGUUGUAAAGUACUUUCAGCGGGGAGGAAGGUGUUGUGGUUAAUAACCGCAGCAAUUGACGUUACCCGCAGAAGAAGCACCGGCUAACUCCGUGCCAGCAGCCGCGGUAAUACGGAGGGUGCAAGCGUUAAUCGGAA
rnacentral:rRNA from 1 species